AUGACACAUCUCCUUUAUGAAACAACAGAGAAGAAGAGGUUGCAAAGGCCUCACAAACAUGCAGGCUUCCACUCUCAUUCUCAGCCUAAGAUCCAGGCAAGCCCACAAACAGAAAGAAUUCCCGAACGUGAUAUGAGUAAAGACUCUACUUGCAUGAAAGGUAUUCUUGAUGCUGCUGAAGAGGAUGGGACUUCCAAAGUCAGUCACUUCACCCACUGCUGCUUCAGACGAAGACAGAGUGUAAGUUGCAGCCAGCUCUUAACUCUCUGCACCCCUGGAUGGCAUCACUGCACUGAGAGUUUAGAAAUCACACCUAUUCAUCCUCUACAAUGCACACUCAAAGUCAAUUUACCGUGUUAACUGUACUUUACCAGUAGAGUAUAUAUUAAUUUGUAGAAAAAAAUAAUUAUCACAUUUGUACAUUUCUGUUAAAUAACACAUUUUGGAAUUGGGUAAUUUGACACAGAAGCCAUAGAUUAAUGUGUACAGCAGCCAUGCAAAGUAAUUAUUGCUGGAAGAUCAUAGUUCAUGGGCAUGCCUAAAAGUGAAUGUUUGACUUUAAGAGAAAGGCCUAUUGCAUGGAGAAUUCCUAGAAUGUUUUCCUCAUUAUCUUUGUUUAUGUCAGAAACCUAUCCUCUGACAGCAAUCAGUUAGAUCCUAGCAAAGAAACAGAAUAAGCAGAAGGCAAAAAACCGCUACGACAAAAAGCUAGAAAGUCUCAAAUGUGCUACCCUUAGUUAGAAGGGAAUAAGACAGGUUUCUUCGGGAAUAGUGAGGGAGAGGAAGCUCAAAACAUGGAAAAGUGCAUUUGAAAAGACUUCAAACAGUGUAGCUGACAUAGAAGUGGAUUUCAAUAGUUAUUACUGAUAUUGACCCUGAUAUCAGUUUCCCCACAUUAAACCCAGCAUAUAUAGGGUUAAAACCAAAACACUCAUUCUCUGCUUACUCUCUGGCUUCCUGGCUCCAGAAUCCACUGUCCUCCAUGGAGACGGACACCCUCAAGGAGAAGCACCUGGACUAUCUCCUCCGGCAAAGAGAUACCGGCUGGCGGGAAAGCAGCUGACCAGCAAGGUCAUGAGCUCCCCUCCCCCCCACCUAAAACCCCAAAUAAAAACCCUUCCUUUUAGCUUUUCGGGGAGAUU
rnacentral:lncRNA from 1 species